UGAGCAACCUACCGAACUGUGGGGGAUAGCCGGCCUAACGGCCGAGUAAUACCGCAUACGCUCUCAGUGAGGCAUUUCAUUGAGAGGAAACCUACGGGACAGAUCGAGGGGCUCGCGGCCUAUCAGCUAGUUGGCGAGGUAACGGCUCACCAAGGCAACGACGGGUAGCUGGUCCGAGAGGAUGACCAGCCACAUUGGGACUGACACACGGUCCAG
rnacentral:rRNA from 1 species